rnacentral:rRNA from 1 species
GAUGAACGCUGGCGGCGUGCCUAAUACAUGCAAGUCGAGCGAACAGACGAGGAGCUUGCUCCUCUGACGUUAGCGGCGGACGGGUGAGUAACACGUGGAUAACCUACCUAUAAGACUGGGAUAACUUCGGGAAACCGGAGCUAAUGACGGAUAAUAUAUUGAACCGCAUGGUUCAAUAGUGAAAGACGGUUUUGCUGUCACUUAUAGAUGGUUCCGCGCCGCAUUAGCUAGUUGGUAAGGUAACGGCUUACCAAGGCAACGAUGCGUAGCCGACCUGAGAGGGUGAUCGGCCACACUGGAACUGAGACACGGUCCAGACUCCUACGGGAGGCAGCAGUAGGGAAUCUUCCGCAAUGGGCGAAAGCCUGACGGAGCAACGCCGCGUGAGUGAUGAAGGUCUUCGGAUCGUAAAGCUCUGUUAUUAGGGAAGAACAAAUGUGUAAGUAACUAUGCACGUCUUGACGGUACCUAAUCAGAAAGCCACGGCUAACUACGUG